AAAUUUUUCUUGUGUCCCCCCCCCUUCAAAACAGGGUUUCUAUAGACCUGGCUGACCUUGAACUCAGAAAUCUGACUUCCUCUGCCUCAAGUGCUGGGAUGAAAGGCGUUCACCACCACUCCCAGCUUUGACCAUAAUGGCUGCAAGAAAGAAUUUGAUGAUGUAGCCAGGGUUACAGUUCAACUGUGAACAGUUGAGUGGACUGUGCAGGGUGCAGGCUUACAAACAACACUAUAAGCAGUUCUCCACUGUCAGAUUUAAGCGUUUGAAAAUAAAGGAGAAGGAGAAGCGGAGAAAAUUGCUUGAAAAGAGCAACCCAGAUCAUUCUAAGUCCAGCAGGGCAGCAGCUUCCGAGAAGCUCAAACAGUUGACCAAAACAGGCAAAGUGUCCUUGUUAAAGGAUGAACGAAAAGAUAAGCCCUUAAAGUCAUCUCAGGCAUUCUUUUCUAAAUUGCAAGAUCAAGUAAAAAUGCAGAUUAAUGAUGCAAAGCAACCUGGAAAGAUAAAGAAGAAAAAACAGGACAUUUCUGUUCAUAAAUUAAAGCUGUAACAUAUUUAAAAUUAUUGUAUAAAUCUGUAAGUUUCUCUCUUUAUUCUGUUUUGUAAUAAAAUUCCUGAGACCUUAGUUUGCUUCAUGUUGUUUUAAUAAAGACCAUCACCAAAGCC
rnacentral:lncRNA from 1 species